rnacentral:rRNA from 1 species
UACGUAGGUGGCGAGCGUUGUCCGGAUUUACUGGGCGUAAAGGGAGCGUAGGCGGACUUUUAAGUGAGAUGUGAAAUACCCGGGCUCAACUUGGGUGCUGCAUUUCAAACUGGAAGUCUAGAGUGCAGAAGAGGAGAAUGGAAUUCCUAGUGUAGCGGUGAAAUGCGUAGAGAUUAGGAAGAACACCAGUGGCGAAGGCGAUUCUCUGGACUGUAACUGACGCUGAGGCUCGAAAGCGUGGGGAGCAAACAGGAUUAGAUACCCG